rnacentral:lncRNA from 1 species
GGUCUCUGCCCUGGGUCUAACUGGAAAACACUCUCCAGGUUCCCCUGAGCAUCCUCAGGACUUUUAUCCUGUUGACCACGAAAUAAUUAUUUCUGCCCCCAAAAUGACACUGUGGGUUCUGUGGAGGUGAGGAUGUGUCCUACUGUAAAAAACAAAACAAACAAAACAAAAAAACAGAAACAAAAAGGAAGAAGAGAAGUUUUGCAUUCAGAGACAUGAAAUGUUAGUACAGAUCUGGAGACGUUCCCUGGGGAAAUUUGACAAUGAGGCAGCCGCAGACCAUGACAGGAAGCCAGGCCUUAGCAGCACCGGCUCCGGCCCGGAGACAGCCCCGAGCUCAGUGUCCGGGCGCCCCCUGGUGGUCACGGGGACCCCUGCGGGGGGGGUUUGUGUCCCGGGCGCCCCCUGGUGGCCCCGCGCGCCCCUGCAGGGAGGUUUGUGUCUGGGCUCACACUGACCUCCCCUCACUGUGUCUCUAGCACAGUAAUACACGGCCGUGUCCUCGGUUUUCAGGCUGUUCAUUUGCAGAUACGCCGUGUUCUUUGAAUCAUCUCUGGAGAUGGUGAAUCUGCCUUUCACCGAUGCGGCGUAUUCUGUCGCGUAAUUGUUAGAUUUGCUUCUGAUACGUCCAACCCACUCCAGUCCUUUCCCAGAAGCCUGGCGGACCCGGUGCAUAGCAGAACUACUGAAGGUGAAUCCAGAGGCUGCACAGGAGGGUCUCAGGGACCCGCCAGGCUGGACCAAGCCUCCCCCAGACUCCACCAGCUGCACCUCACACUGGGCACCUGCAAACACAGAGACACCCUGGUCAGAAACUGCCACACAUAUCCACUGUUUCUCUCACUCAUGUCCCCUCACACUCCACAUCUCUAUUUCUCCAUGAAUCACCUUUUAAAAUGGCAACAAGGAAAACCCAGCUCAGUACAAACUCCAUGGUGAGUCUCCUGUGUUCAGUGUCGAUCACCAAGUGGAGACAGCUGGGAAUCCCAAGGCUGGGUCUCCUCUCCCAGAGCUGCAGGGUCAGGGCUGGGCUGUUUUUCAUCACCUAAAAGGGGGGUCUUAUUUGCAUGUCUCCUACUAUAUAGCAAGCUCCUCGGGGGUGGGACGCCUCAGGAGAGGGCUGUGCACAGAGUAGAUGAGGGUGUCCUGGGGGAGAUUGGUAGUGAUCCUAUCAUUCAGGAAAAUAUAAUUUCAUAUUAUGUG